GCAUUGACAAAAUGUGUGAUGUGGGUGGGAUGAGAGAUACAGCGUGCUGCCAAGGAUGGCCCAUCUUAAUGAGAGUUGUGGGAGAGAACAAGCCUUGGAAAUCACAUGCUGUCAUUUCUGCGAUCGGUCAUAACCAGUCCUGAUUCCAUGUUAGAGGAGACUACAUAAGGACACAGGUACCAGAAGAUGAAAAAUUUGGAGUCUAGUGAAAAGAAGUGACUUGCUCAAAAUCACACAGCACAUGAAGAACAGAGCCUCUAUGAUGAAUUUCUUGACAGCUGAUAUAAGUCUUUUGAGGUACAGCCUGGCACAAAAAGGAUGAGAUUUGUGGGCAGAAUUUUGGAAGAAUAUCUCCCGAGAGAACAUUCAGGACAGAUUGCACUGCUUUGGAGAGCUGGUGAUGAAAUCCGGCCAUUGAAUUACACUGCACUAUAAACUUCAUUUGUUCUUGGGUGCAUAGUGAUUUGCUAUAAUAAUGAUCAUCCAUUUGCCAGACAGCUGAGAUUUUUUAAAAGCUUGAUUGCUUUUGGCAUGGCAUUAUUAGUCCUGGAAGAAGGCAGCACAUUUGUAGCAAUUCUCAGCUUGAGCAAACUAGAAUAUUCACCUCCCACAAAUGCUGGCCAUUUAAGAUCUGUGUGUUAGACUUUGGCAUUUUUUCUAGCAAUUCUACAACAGCAUACACACUUUUAUUUUUCAUUAACACCAUUGUGAAUAUGCCCAUCUCUAAAAUUUCAAGGGGGUUCACUUAAGCUACUGAGUUUUAUGGACAGAAGGGCCAAGAAAAGUCCCCAAAGAAGAGUGCAUGCUGUCAAUUGCCAAUUAUUUUUUUUUCUAAUGAAAGCCAAACAAUUCCAGACAAACCCUUUUCUAAGAAAUGAACUACAUAUCUGGAUCCAAAUAAAUACUCAUCUGAUAAGAAUCUAAAAGCUCUACUGAAUUACAGUGGAUGAGAACAUGAUGAUGGUGAUUCUUUGAAGAUUACUGAGGAAAUCAACUCUCAUGUCUGAUUCUGAUACUUUUAUAGUCCAUCCAUGUUGAAAAUGUCUAUGGAAUGAUUCUGUUGUACCUUGAGAAAUGAAAUUCAUAGGCAUGGAUUCUCUCACACAGCAACUUUAUACACAAAGAUGAGAAUAGAAGAAAGGUCAUUUCCAAAGAAAGUGACAUUUAUUCUGUAUUCACUGAAAAGCCAAAAGAAUUUUCUCAUUCACCCAUACCGACAGAGCCCUACAUCUCCCCGAGAAGAGGUGAAAGAGACUGCUCCUAUCUGCUUCUGCAUCAAACUUCAGGCUCAAGACCUGUCCAGAAAAAAAAAUGUCUUCUUUCAGGGAUGAACUGCUGUCCUCAUCAGACGCCUUAUUUUGUUUAGAAUUCAAGCUCACUUGACAGGUUAUUGUGAAGAUUAAAUGAAUUAAUACAUGUGAAGCAACUGUAACAACUCUUGACAUGCGUGGGCUGGACUUCCAGAAGAAACGUUGUCAGAACUCUGCCCAACUGAAAACAAGCCUACUAAAAAUAAAUAAAUAAAUAAAAUUUUAAAAAAUUGAUUAAUUAAAA
ensembl:lncRNA novel transcript